rnacentral:lncRNA from 1 species
GUGAGUCUUAUUCUCCCAUGUUCUGUUCUAUUUCAGUCUCUGGCAGAGAUAUCCUCAAUUUCUACCAAUCACCCAUGAGAAAGACAAGAAUAGCUUUGGGCACAUCUCUCUGAAUUUCUGGUCUAACUAUCCAUCAUAUGGAGGAGAGACUAUCAAAAGUGAACUGGUAACUGAUGAUAUUUGCUGUGGAAGCCAUGAUUAAGUCUUCAGGAAGCAUCAAAG